rnacentral:lncRNA from 1 species
GAGCCACAGUGCUGUCUAACCCAGAGGGAGGUCAGGAAGGUGCCAGCUUCCCUGCUCUGGGGUAUGUUCUAAAGAAAUGAUCAUUAUGGGAUCCCACAAGCAUACUCCACUCCUCCAUCCCAUUGCCAGUGUCAGAGAUCUGUGGAGGCACAGAAAACUCCGUGUAUGGAUGGAGGAGGGGGUCUAAGAUUUGAUAGUCUAGUCUGGAUGCUCAUCAAAAAUGCCCAUAUUGGGCUCCAAGAAAGAUCUUCACGUCGAAUGAGACCACCCUUCAUGCAUCCUUCUCAGUGCAGAAAUAGACAGAUGUGGAUGAAGAAACAGGAAAACAUUCUUCACCUCCAGGAAACAGACUCAUCCUCUCCUUCACGAAGCCCAUCUCCACACGGAAAUGUAUGACCCGUCUCUGUCUCUCAGCACAGAGCUCUUAUUCAGACCUCGGUCUGCCCUCCCUGCUCGGACUGUGUUGCUUGUUCUUCCCGACUCUUCGGGGGCAGACACGACGAAUUUCCUCCACCAGGACCAGCCGGUGGUCCCCACAUUCCUUUGGAUGAGCAGAUCUGCUGGGGAUUCGAGAGAAAGCAAGCACAGGCUCCUGGACCACACAGCCUCCCGAAUCCUACCCUCACUCAGGCUUCCCUAG